UAGGGAAUUUUCCGCAAUGGGCGAAAGCCUGACGGAGCAACGCCGCGUGCAGGAGGAAGGCCUUCGGGUUGUAAACUGCUUUUGUCUGUGAAGAUUAUGACUGUAACAGAAGAAUAAGGACCUGCUAACUACGUGCCAGCAGCCGCGGUCAUACGUAGGGUCCAAGCGUUAUCCGGAAUUACUGGGCGUAAAGAGUUGCGUAGGUGGCAAUAUAAGCAAAUAGUGAAAGCGUGCGGCUCAACCGCAUUUCCAUUAUUUGAACUGUAUAGCUAGAGCAUGAGAGAGGUAGAUGGAAUUUCUAGUGUAGGAGUGAAAUCCGUAGAUAUUAGAAGGAACACCGAUGGCGUAGGCAGUCUACUGGCUCAUUGCUGACACUAAGGCACGAAAGCGUGGGGAGCGAACGGGAUUAGAUACCCCGGUAGUCC
rnacentral:rRNA from 1 species